CCUGCACCACAGCAGUGGCCCCAAGCCAUGGCAGUGACAAUGCUGGAUUCUUAACCUGCUGUGCCACAAGGGAACUCUAAUUUCUUGCAUUUUUAAAGGAGCUUGGGGUUCAGAAGUGGACACAGUCUGGUAAUCCAGUAAGAAGAGCAGAGUGGUAAGAGUGGGGGAGCCUGGACACAUCUGGGCUCAGCUCUGCUGUUCCCUGCAAUGUAAACCUGGGCAGAUUAAUAAAAUUCCCUGAGCCUCAGGGUCCUUAUUUUCACCCUAAGGAUGGUGAUAUGGAUUGUUGGGAGGUUUAAGGAGAUUAUGUAAGUCAUUUAACACAGACCUGGCAUAUAGCAACCCCACAAGGAAUGACAGCAAUCAUAUUCUUAGUGUUAUCAUUAUUCUUGCAGGUCAUUCCAUUAAUAUGUCUCAUUGCCAUACCUUUUAAAUGCUAACACAUGAUUGUACUGCUGCCUAACAUUGAGUUCACAGCAUUAAAAAUGCCUCGGUCCUUUCCAUUUGUGUCAUGUUUAUAUCCUAGUUGUACUCUUUCCCAACCUUAAAUCUGGGUAGUUUACAUGCUAUCUUGUUGUGUCCCUACUGAUUUCUUGGCAGACAUGUGUUGUUCCCUGGAGGGACAGCUUUCCUGUGAUGCUACCCCAAACAUGGCUCAACAGUAAUAUGAAUUUUUUCACAGAGCAGAAAUGAACUGAAAUACAGUGUAUCUCAGACUUUUUGUGGCCACGUAAUCCAAAUAUUUGACUUUUCUACUUAAGCAUAGUGCUCACUCCCAUGUUUAUUAGGGAGGAGGGGUGUAUACUUCCUCCAGGGUACUGGAGGGAAGUUCUUUAUGGCUUUUCAAGGUGACCUACACUGAAUGGGUGCUAAUAAGACAUUACUGGUUUACUCAAUUAUGCUUCAGUAGAUUCUGCUAAAUGAAAAUACACCAGAGGAUUUAACUGCCCAACCAUUGGGAUACCACCUGUGGAAAAAAACUGAACCUCUUUGGGGGAAUUUCAAUAAACGUAAUUAAAUCAGGAAGCCCAUUUAUUCUGAAGAAAUUAACUUCUAGCUUCCAACUCUAGGUUAGAAUAGUCUCUGUUUUCUUCACGCCAGAAAAUUCUAGAAUAGCAAUAUUUAUUUACAUUAUGCUUUGCACAACACUGCCGUGCCUCUUAAAAUUCUCAUUUUAUUCACCUGUGUUUAAAAUGCCCACUGACUAACAUAGACGUAUUUGGGUUCUAGAAACUUUCAAUAAAGUUCUCAGAUUUUUCCUUUGAAAGAAAGGAUUAAAGAUUCUUUUCAAGGAGCAUCUUUUUCACACAGUGUGAAAGAACUACUGGCGUUCCCAUGGGAAUGAGCCGCAUACAUUUCAGCCCUUCCCACAAGAUGUCUAUUGUUCUCUGGGCGUCUCUAGGCUUCCUCUGCUGUGACAUGUUGCUACACUUCACUUCUACUGAAAGCCGCUGAGACUGGGUUAUUCCAAAUGAUGCUAAAGGACCCAGCCCUUGGUGUUUCUCCUAGAACUUAUACGGUCUAAGUCUGUAGCAGGCUUGUUAUCACAAGUACAUACAAAAAAUACCUUUGGUGACUUGUUUAAGAGCUCAAAAAAACUACUUAAUUUUGAACGCAUACUGCAACUUACUAGAACACAAACAGGAAACACUUCUCUUCCUCAGGAAUGAGGGAAACAUCUUCAAGUCCAACAAACUUUCUAAACCAAGAAUUUGUGAUCUGUCAAUGAUUUAAUAAUGUAUCUAUUUUCAUUUGUAAAUUUUGACCUUGCCAGGCAUAUUUGCUCUGGGAUUGAUAUAAAUCUCACCACAAUUUUUUAAAUUCCAAUUUUGUGUGUUUGUUUUUCCAGAAAACAUAACUGAACUUGCAAAUUACAAGGAAAAGUCAAUGUUAAAUGCAUCUUUAUUUAAAUUUCACUUAUUAAACAACUACAGGACCAAUUCAAAUAAUCCCCUAAGUACUUUUUCCCGUCUUUAAAUUGAAAACAUAUAUAAAUGUUAUGGAGUUUAGGGUUUGGGUACUAUAACAAUUUAAAUAUGUAUUUGAAAAAACAAAAAAAAGCGGCUGGAUUCAAUUAUCAUUUGUAAGAUAGCAGAAAUCAAAGGAAAACAAUUACAGCAACAAACAAACAACAAUGGUGACUGUCCAACCCAGUAACUGUAAUGAUGAUACUGAAUUUUCUUUGAAUAUCAUAAGCAGGGCCAGUUUCUUUGCUAGUUGCAAAAUGUUUCUUGAGGUAAACAAAAGUAUGAGAUAGAAAUGAGCCUAGAUUAUUACGGAGUAAAACAAAAAUGAAUCUAGAAGCAUAGUUUUCUGCUCCUGAGAGCUAGAGACAUAUUUUAAUAACCCACAGAGAGAUGGUUUUUUUAAAAUUAUAAUAACUGAAAAGCAUGCACACAUGGCUAGACACAUAGCUCCCAAAUGCAUUUUAUCUGCGUAAUCAGCCAGUCCCUGGAACACAGGAAACUCUGGCCAUCAUAGGAAAUAGAUGGCAAAAUGCUCGAUCUUUAGAGCAACUCAGCUGGAACCCACAACCAUACUCAGAAGCAGCCCAGUCGCCCUGGCCCCCUUCUGUCCUGUAGCCGUGCUUCCCGGCGCUGCUUGUCAAGCCCGAGGUGCACUUGAUU
rnacentral:lncRNA from 1 species